rnacentral:lncRNA from 1 species
CAAGCGAAAACAGCUGCGGCAACGGCAACGAUGACGAUUAUAACAACAAGAGAUCAAUGGAAGACCAUGUUGCAGCAUCCUUAGCAAAAGAUCCUAGCUUCACUCUAGCUUUAGCCGCAGCUGUUGCUCGCUCCAUUACUGAGCACCCUAAACCACCAACAAACUAAAAUAACAUUUCUUUAAAGCAUUAGGCUAAGGUGUGUAUGUGUACUUAAUUCAAGUCGGUCUUAGUUGUCAUUCAUUUUCUUGAAGCAAUUGAGGGAGCAAAUAUAAAAUAACUUCAGAAAUAAAAGGGAGGGACUUAAUUGAAAAGAAAACAAAACUUGCUUAAAUGUCCAAAGGAGCAAUAAUACCAAGCAUAUACAAUGAGAAGAACCAUCCUAGCUUCUCUUAUUUGGUUAAGGCUACAUAUUUAUACGUACAUACAUUUUUUACUCAUAUUUUAAUAUAUAAAUUAGCAAUAAAUUAAGUGAAUUGGAAAUAAAAAUAUAUUUAAUAAAAACUAAUUUAUUAAUAAAAUAUAUAUUAAAAUGAUUUGACAUUAAAUAAAAAAUAAUAAUUAAUAUUAUGUUUAUUUUAAAAAAUAAUAUAAUUAAAAUAAAAAUUAAAUUAGAAAAUAAGUAGCAGUGAAAGGGGUGAAAUAGAAAUUACCCCCUUCCACUAGAGAUUUGUAUCUCCACUGAUGGCCUUUAACUUUGAGGGUGAAUUUGGAUGGGCGGUGCGUUUAUUUGCGAUUAUUGUAAAAAUAGUGGUGGUGAUGAGAUUAAAUACUAUAGUGAUACUGUAGCGUGAGAUAAAAAGUAAGCUAAACACACCGUAUCGCACCCAAUCGCCCAUCCAAACCAACCUUGAGUCCGAAAUUGAGAACUAGUAAGAUGCAUUCCUUCAACUAUUGCUCUUCUAAACAGUUUCACUAGUGAAAAUGCGGUGAGAUAGAGAAUAAAUUGUAUUGAUGGCCUUAAAUCCUGAGUCCAAAAUUGAGAACUGGUGAGACACGUUCCCUCAACUGAUGCUCUUCAAACAGUCUCACUAGUGAAAAUGCGGUGAGAUGGAGAAUAAAUUGUACUGAUGCCCUUUAACCCUGAGUCCAAAAUAAAAGUCAACACAAGAAAUUAAAUAAAAAACAAAUACUUUGAAGAAAAUAUGCUAAGGUUAGAGGUAUCAAUCGGAUAAUCUAGUAAUGUAUGUCUAAUAAUUAAUCAUAUGAAUCCAUGAGCAAAGAUAAGACCAUCAAAGGAACGUCCAAAAUGAUUGUUCAAUAAGUUCAAGAGUUUAGCAAAUGAAUCCAUAUAAAAGGAUGGUGUAAUACGACAGUUUAACUGUUUGAGUUCAGUCCAAAAAUAUAACAUAUGGUAUUAUAAUCACUUGAUAACUUCAAGACUUGUAAAAAAGAUUUCAAAUAUUUUAUGCCAAUUUUUAUGUCUACAGCAAAUCAAGGUUAAUUUAUCCAAGCAUUCAUUGUGUCAUAUAUUGUCUAUAUCAAAUAAAAUAUAUUACUUUACAAGUAUGAUUAUAAUAAAUGAUUGAUAAUUAAAUUAAGCUCAAAUGAUGAGUAUGUAAUUUACCUUAAUAUUUGCCAAGAGUUUCAUCCUUGCACCUCACCAUUGAAAACUUAACAAAAUUAAACAACUCAAACUUAUAUAUAAAGACAUAUUAGAUAUAAGAAACUUGAGAUUUUACAAAGAUAAAACUAUGAAGAAAUACUAACAAGAAAAUGAUCUUGAUCUCAACUUCAAGAUGCCUCCUAUUCUGAAAUGAAAAGCUAUUUAUAGAGGUUUGUGAAGAGAAAAAUGACAAUGCAAAUAACUUGCUAAUAAUAAAUUUUUAGGCCUAUUUCUUUAUCAUCUUUUGAGUCAUUUUUCACAUGUUAAAUGAUGACUUAUUUUGUCCAAUUUAAUGUCUCCC